rnacentral:rRNA from 1 species
GGUGAGUAACACGUGGGUAACCUGCCCAUCAGAAGGGGAUAACACUUGGAAACAGGUGCUAAUACCGUAUAACAAUCRAAACCGCAUGGUUUUGAUUUGAAAGGCGCUUUCGGGUGUCGCUGAUGGAUGGACCCGCGGUGCAUUAGCUAGUUGGUGAGGUAACGGCUCACCAAGGCCACGAUGCAUAGCCGACCUGAGAGGGUGAUCGGCCACAUUGGGACUGAGACACGGCCCAAACUCCUACGGGAGGCAGCAGUAGGGAAUCUUCGGCAAUGGACGAAAGUCUGACCGAGCAACGCCGCGUGAGUGAAGAAGGUUUUCGGAUCGUAAAACUCUGUUGUUAGAGAAGAACAAGGAUGAGAGUAACUG